UGAGUCUUUUUCUUCUCCAACCCGUCCAUCUCUCUCUCCUCUUUUUCAUCUUCCUAAAUUCCACCAUUAAAGCUUAUUUUAAGCUUGUAUAACCACUAAAUCUAGCCACAAAUCCCAAAACUCCCUUAGUUAAACUUUGUUUUUAGAUCUUGAUGAAAAGAUUGGGAGCAAGAAAGUAGAGAAAAACUUGAAGUUUUGGAAGAGUGAAAGGAGCUAAAAGAGUUGUAUACCACUGAGUAUAAUUACUCAGCGAUAGCGUGUUUUGCUAUCGCAGAUAAGGAAAAGGACAAGGCAGCAGAGUAAGCUGCUUGGAGCUGAACUUGAAGCUAUUUUGGACUUUCUCCGGGUAUAUUAAUUAUACCCUUUGUAAAUUUUUCUUUUGAUGUAAAGUAAUAAUAUGUAUCCAUAUGUACACAUUGAGUAGUUGUAUAGUAAAGCUUGUAAUAAUGUUAUUUCUGAUUUUCUUUUUGAAAUUUGGGAUUAUGGUAUGUAAAUUGAAUUAAAUGCAAUGAUGAUAAGGUUUAUUGAAA